rnacentral:sRNA from 1 species
AUCGGACCUGCCCGCGGAAAGCCACCACUGAAGGCACCCGAGGGACCACACAAGGCGUUGGUGUUUCCAUGCACUUCCACUUGAGCGCUAACUGUAACUCCAUGGCUUAGACGUAUUUUUAAUUGACCUUUUACGCAAAGCAGUAAGCACAGAUUCAGAAGCUGAUACUGAGGGAGUUUCGAGUGGCAGAACUGAUCAUCUGUCAAGCUGAGUUGAUCUUUCCCCCACGUUAUACUGGCGAAACUCGUUUCCAGAUUGACCCUAAGACGACAGGGAAAGGAGAGCAGCAAAGAAGGAAAUGGGAUUGGGGUUAGUUCUUCCAACCGACUUGGUAUCGACAACUUUGAGUUCAUCCGAGUGUUGGGGAAGGGGAGUUUUGGGAAGGUGAUGCUUGCAAGAAUAAAAGAAACAGGAGACCUCUAUGCUGUGAAGGUGCUAAAGAAGGACGUGAUUCUGCAGGAUGAUGAUGUGGAAUGCACCAUGACCGAGAAAAGGAUCCUGUCU